GAUGAACGCUGGCGGCGUGCCUAAUACAUGCAAGUCGAACGAAACUUCUUUAUCACCGAGUGCUUGCACUCACCGAUAAAGAGUUGAGUGGCGAACGGGUGAGUAACACGUGGGCAACCUGCCCAAAAGAGGGGGAUAACACUUGGAAACAGGUGCUAAUACCGCAUAACCAUAGUUACCGCAUGGUAACUAUGUAAAAGGUGGCUAUACUACCGCUUUUGGAUGGGCCCGCGGCGCAUUAGCUAGUUGGUAGGGUAAAGGCUUACCAAGGCAAUGAUGCGUAGCCGAAUUGAGAGGUUGAUCGGCCACAUUGGGACUGAGAUACGGCCCAAACUCCUACGGGAGGCAGCAGUAGGGAAUCUUCCACAAUGGGCGAAAGCCUGAUGGAGCAACGCCGCGUGGGUGAAGAAGGUCUUCGGAUCGUAAAACCCUGUUGUUAGAGAAGAAAGUGCGUGAGAGUAACUGUUCACGUUUCGACGGUAUCUAACCAGAAAGCCACGGCUAACUACGUG
rnacentral:rRNA from 1 species